rfam:Aedes albopictus isolate Foshan contig16483, whole genome shotgun sequence.
UGGCCUAGUGGUUAAGGCUACGGAUCACCAAUCCGGAGACGGCGGGUUCGAUUCCCGU